rnacentral:tRNA from 1 species
GAGGGUAUAGCUCAGUGGUAGAGUGUGUGCCUAGCAUGCAAGAGGUCUGGGUUUAAUCCCCAGUACCUCCA